CGCCGCGGUUAUACGGAAGACCCAAGUUGACAGACAUUCGGCGUAAAGCGUGGUUAAGAUUUACCUAUUUCUAAAGUCGAACACCUACAGAACUGUUAUACGUUUCCGAAGGAAAGAAGCCCAUCCACGAAAGUGACUUUACUACAUCUGAACCCACGAAAGCUAUGAUA
rnacentral:rRNA from 1 species